CUUUUAUGUACAUGUAUAUACUUUAAGACUGUUAAUGGUGGUAUUUUUAAUUUUUUUAAUUUUAUUUUUGAAGUUUUGACAUUGUCAACAGAUAUUUCUUUAUACAAGACAAUGAAGAAUAUCUACAAGUGUGUAUACAAUGUACAAUUGUGUAUUACAUGUAUUAGUUUGAACAAAAUUAGGGAACAUAACUUCUGACAACCUCCUUCGAGAUUACAAGAUUCUUAAGGGAAAAAAAUCAUUCAUUUGAAGAUAUGCUGUAUUUAUUUUCUGUAUAUACAGAAAAUAAAUACAGCAUAAGAUGUGUUCAUCAGAUUUAUACAUAUAUCUGUUAAAUUUGAGCAUUUAUGUAAUUACUAGAGUGGGGCCCAUAUUUGCCGGGGACACAAUUUCGCCGUUUUAUGAUUUUGAGGUGUUAACACUUCAAAGGAUGGCUGAAAUGGAAGAAAUAUAUGCCAAUAAAUUAUAAUUUUAUAACAAAUAUGAUUAUUUUUUAAACUUAAACAAAAUUACGGCACUUACUGCAAAAGAUCGAAAAACGGACAACGAUUUUCGGUCAAUUUCCUGAAUGAAAAAUAGGAUUUUCAUAGAUUUUUUUCUUAGCAUUUUUUUUGACUGAUUGGCCUAAAUUUCUGUUUUUUACACCUUUGAAAUGUCUGCUGUUCAUCUAUAAUGACAUUUAUUUGAUAGAUAUUACAUAAAGCUACAGUUAUUUGGUUUUAAAUAGAUGUGUAAAAACGGCGAAUAUGUGUCCCCCAUUGACAAAACUUCAGGAAAUUUCAAACACCUUUUAAUCUAACUUUACAGAUGAUUAUUUUCAAAUAAACAUGUUUUCAAGCUUAGGAAUGUUUUGCAUUUGAAGUUAUCUUCAUAUAGAAAUAUCAGUAUACUUCAAAAACAUAUAGACCUGAACAUAAACUGUAGAAAACAUGGAAAGAUAUGGCGAAAAUGAGCACCCCACUCUAGAUGGCUUCAUGACUUUUCAGAAAUGUGUUUAAUGCCAGCAAGGUAUACAUUUUGUACAUACAUAUCAGAUAUGAUAAGGUUUAAGUUGUGCCUUAGUAAUGUACUAGAUUUUUCUUUAGAUAGAAUGUUAAGCUUUGCAUGUCUCUUCUUAAAUAGCUCAUCAUAAGGAAUUUUAUUAUUUUUCUUAUGCUACUAAGCAAAUUUUAGUGAAUACUUACUAAUCCAGAGUAUAAUUUGAGUAGUCUGAGGCAUUUGACUAAUGACUUAUGGUACAGUCUUGUUAAAUCAUGUGCUCAUGUUUCCAUUCCAAAAAACCUAUUGAAAUUUGUUUAUUUUCAUGAUUUUGAUAUAAAAUUAAAAUUAAAAAAUUGAAGUUUGAAGUUGUAGAAUACAAAUUUUCCUGUCUAAUCUUUGUGAAAAUUAUGAUAAAUUGUGAUUAAGGCCAGGAAAUUUUAAAAUAAAGCCAGAAAAAGAGGCAAUAUUAGGGUCUUAUCAAUUUACUCCUUUGGGUCAUUUAUGUUCAUUGCUUGUCUAGCAAGUCCCAGCAAUUGCAGCUUUGUUUAGUUUUCACAUUUUUCAGCAUUCAUUCUCUCCAACAUCAUGAACUUGUUCCAUUUUAUUUGAAACAAGUUAAAUCAUCCUGGUAUAAUAUAAUAUAUAGUAUCAAAAGUAUGAUUUAUGUGUGGGUAUAUAGGGUUAAUUUGAAUUUCCUUUGAAAAGCAAUUUUUUUAUUACAGUUAAAAUAAUAAAGCAUGCAAACCAAGAGUUUGAUUGCCUUGCUUUCCAACUUUGGUUGUUUGCUCAGACAUUGUAAUUAAGAUUGACACCUUAAUUCAAUGGGUAAGUGGUGUUAUAGUCUGUUUACUAUACACAAAGGUUUGAUUGGUCAAUGAAUAUCCAAAUUGUAUCCAAUAUGUUACCCAUUGUCCAAUCAACUCUUUUUUAUAUAGUAAACAAACUGUUACUCUGCCUCUCCAUUGAAUUUAGGUGUCAAUAUUUAUUACAAUGCCUGAGUAAACAACCAAACAAAGUUUGCAAGCAAGACAUUUAAAUUCUUGGUUUGCGCAUGCUUUAUCAUUUUAACUGUAAAUGUGAAAAAUAGUUUCCAGGAGGCACUUUUUGAUUUUGUCCUAUCCUGCAGCCUGUUCACACAGAUUUUAUGAGUAGGAAGAAUAGAAUUCAUCAUAAAAGAUUUUUUUCUCGCUUAUUUUUCCUUGCAAAUUUUUACUUGGAAAAGAUGCACACCAUUUAGUUUUUUGCAUGACAACAUUCAUCAAACACAUAACAUUUAAUAACCUCUAGCUUAUAAGUUAAUAUUUUUUGUUUGGGCUUAUUUAAAAAGAUUGAAACUCAGAUGUUAAUUAUGAAUGUUAGAUUUUUACCUCAUGUUGAACAAAAUAGUUUUUGUGAUGUUGAAAAAUGUUUAUUGAUCUUCAUUAUUACUAUGUUGUGAAAGAAAACAGUAAAAGAAAUUUUAAAUGAAGUCUUGUAUUUGAACUUAAUUGAUCCAAUGAUUAUUCCAGAAAAACACAAACAACAGAUGCAGUUUGAACAAUAUGACUGCCAAUCACUUGAAAAUGGG
rnacentral:lncRNA from 1 species